GAAGAAUGGACAGAGAAACCUACAUUGUUUCAUGUUUCCAGUUUUUCUCUCUAGACGUUUCCACUUCAUCUUCUCCGAUGUAAGAUUUUUUUUUAUAACCUUCUCAAUAAAUGAUGAUCUUUAAACCAUUCUCGAAUGUUUCUUUCCACCUCUCUAUGAUCCUUCUCCUAUAUAAAGCUAUAUAUUUUAACCUAAAUCAACCUUAAAUCCCAACUCUCCAUUGGCACUUUAUUCUAUACCUAACUGCAUGAUCUCUACUUCUACUCAACCACCGUCAAAUCGAAAAUGCAAUUCCUCCAGUAAAAGCUCAGUCGCCUUCGAAGCUCCUUCACCGCUGAAUCAUCAUCAUCAAGGUUCUUACCAUGUGACGUCUCUCACCUUCGUCUACCCGUCGAGAAUAUAUGCAGUAAAAAAUCCAGUUCCCGCUGACAGAGAGAUCCCGAAGAAGAUGAUAUACAUACUUAAACUCGGAUUUCAAGUGAGGAUGGUGGUCUUCUGAAGAAGCUAUGCUUUUGUGCGAGAAAGGAUAAGGCUGUGAACACCAGGUCUAUGAGACUUUGUAUGAAGAGAACAAGGAGCUAGCUCCAUGUAAGGUCUGAUUCUUUUCCCUCCAUUCGCUUUAAAGUUGUGAUCUAGCGUGUCUGACGUGAAAUCUGUGUUUAGUUCUCUCUCUUUCUGAUAUAGUGCUUGCAGUUCGUUGACAUGUUACUCAUCGGGUCAAUAGUUUUAAUCCAGUCACAUCAACGUGGAUUAAUUUGUCACCCAAGAGAAGUCAGUAAUGCUGCUUGGAGUUGGAAGUUCAUAGUAGAUUGUUCUUCCUUCUCUUCUGAUGACAAAGUUUCCAGCUUUAUGUCAUUUCAUUCAAAAGAAGACCACGAUGAGCUACUCAAAGUGUUGUGGGCGUGGACUACAUGGUCAAACGGGCUCAAAUAUUUCAAGAGAGGUAUAGAAGAAGAGGACGCUAGAGAACAAAGGGAAAUGGGGUCUACACCUCCUAUUCAAGCCUUUUAAAGCUAUGUGAAUGAUAUGGACCCGUUAAGAGUUCAUGGAGUUGCAGCUGCUGUCUCACUGUUGAGCAGCGUCUAUCACUGUGCAACGAGGCGAAUGAUCUAUAGAAUGCAGCAAGUGAACUACAAUGAGAUAUUCAAAGGGAAUAUGACGAAAAAGUUGGAUGCAUACAGCCUGUUGAAGAUUUAUCCGACCAAAGUGAACCGAGUUUACAGUAUACUUGUGAAGAAGGUAUCAGUACCUUUAUAUUGAACUUGAAGCUAGAAUAUUGUUAUCUUACAAGAAGCUCAGUUACAAUUCAAUUACUUCCCAUCAAGGAAUGACCCGGUUCAUCAUGCUGAGAAGUAUCCAGCUCCACCUGCAGUCUACUCUGGGAAACAUGGGACAGUUAUCAUAUUAAACAUGUAUUCUCAUCAUUGCCACCUCUCACCAGGUGCUUACUAUCUCCUUGACGAACAGGUGCUUCCGGCAAACAUCCACCGUUCCAGUCAACAUUAUUUUGUUUGCACUGUAACAUACUAUUGGACUCAGCUGUUCUGUUAAGUUUGAGGCGGAGAUUGCACCACAAAACAUUACCCAGACAAUUCCUUCACCGUCAUUAUCUCCAUGUUUCAUGUUUGAGGUUUAUCAGUGAAUGACUAACUCCUUCUCUUUAUAUUGUUGGUGGAUGGAAAGUGAAACCAGAGAGAAGUGAUUCAGGUGUACAGACAUGGAAACUUUUCAAUUCCAACAAGAAUUAGC